AAUCCUGUGGCCUAGUGGUUAGAGUAUCCACCUAAAAUGUGGAAGGUCAUGGGUUAGAACCCUGACCGAAUCA